AUAAUUCAGAUUAUAUUUUUGUUAAGGGAGUACACCCUUUACCAUUGCCUUGUUUAACAGAAGUUAUCUGGAUGGGCAUAAAUUCUGUUGCUACGUUAAACAAACUGAAUGACCUUCCACCUGCUCGUAUCCAUGCAUUACCCAUUAAGUCCUGUGUUACCAUGACAACGAUGACAUCCACACUGCUCAUUAACCCUCUAAAGGCAGAUCUAAUCGAGCGGUUGGUAAUAAACCCGGUGCAGCUUGUUCUGCAGUAAAGGAUCAACAAAUACGACUUCAAGCUUUGCUAAUUAGUGAGUUCAUCCAUACUUCUGGAUGCACCUGUAAUUGAUUUUAAAAGAUUAGCAGGUAAUGAAUGAUGCGUUUAUUGGAAGUAAUUGCAUCAAAUGAAGGAUGUGUUGAUGGUUGCCCAGUUCAGAGCACUUUCAAAUUGUUCUGUUCCAAUUGACAUGUGUGUAAUUUAAAAAAAAUGAAAGGAGAGUGAAUGCACUUUUAUUGCUUUGCUUCACUUAAAUUUUGGGCUGACAUCUGUAGAUCAGAUGAAAAAAAAAAUCAUUUUCUUUCAUCAAAAAAAUAUCACGAUGGUUACUUAGAUCUGAAUAUAUCUCACUCUUUGUCAGUAAGAAAAUUAAAAAAUAUAGAUGACCUUUGAUCUUUUGCUUUUAUGAACUUUGGCCAAAAAAGGUCUAAACGAGUGCAGGUUAAAUAUGUGUACACCGGUAGCUCAUAAUUUCAUGCAACAUGCAUUUGAAAUUUGAUCAAUCAAUUUUCUAUGAAACCUUAAUUACAUAUUUUUACAUACCGGUACAUGCUUAUGUACCGGUAGGCAUAUAAUUAACAAUAGGAAUACUGCUGAUUUCUAGUUGAUAGUAAAUGGAUCAAUAUUUAGCAUGAUUUGUUACUUCUUAUGCAGUUUUUAAUUUUUAGGAAAAUUAGAAAGGUGUCCAUGAUAACAGCUUGUGUCUUUGCCAUCCACACAAUUAUAUUUCUCUUGAUUAUGUACACCAAACUUCCUUCCAUUGUCUAAUUAUUCCUGCCACAUUAUUACUUCCAGUAUUUCUAGAAGAAGUUUUACUAGAAAAAUUAGAAAGGUAUACAGAUAACAGCUUUUGUACGUUACAUGUUAUCCCUUAUUGUCUUUCAUUUCAAUGACUUUUUAUUAUUUGUAGCAUUUGUGUACCGAUAUACAUUUGUAUGUUGUCAUAAAAUAUGCAGUACCGGUACAAAUAUUUUGUUUUAUAUAGUUGGUACUGUUACAAUAUCCAUCAUGUUUUCAAGUAUUUUCUGUACAGUGUCAAAUUUAAAAAUACAAGGUGUAAGUUUUUACAGGUCAUUCAGCAGCAUCUUGCAUUUGAUAUAAACUUGUAUUAUGCAGACCUUGAUUGAUUAUUAUACAAAAAUGUUGUAGCUGCAGCUGCUAAUUAAGCUUUGAGUUUGCAAUUAGUUUUGUUAAUGUUAUUUGAAUGUUGAAAAUAUAUGAUUUGGUAUAAUCACACAGGUGUAAUUAUCUGAUGAUAUUGGUUGUAAAUCAUACGUGCUAUAGCUCACAAAUGUCUUUCCAAUUUUGAUUGGUCUUUCUCUAUGAUCCGUCCACAUUGAUUCAUUAUGCACAUUUCAUUCCUAUUUUAUAUCAGAUGAAACACAAUUUUAUUCAUUCCAACAACAAUCAAGUGUCUUUGUUUGAUACCACCUAUUUGUACACAGAUCGAGCAGCCUUUUGGAGGUUGUUAAUUGUUAUAAAUCUAAAUUUGUGUCUUUAAUUUAUGUAAGAUUCAAAUAAAUUCGUCAUGGAAAAUUCA